rnacentral:rRNA from 1 species
UACGAAGGGGGCUAGCGUUGCUCGGAAUCACUGGGCGUAAAGGGUGCGUAGGCGGGUUUUUAAGUCAGAGGUGAAAUCCUGGAGCUCAACUCCAGAACUGCCUUUGAUACUGAAAGUCUUGAGUAUGGGAGAGGUGAGUGGAACUGCGAGUGUAGAGGUGAAAUUCGUAGAUAUUCGCAAGAACACCAGUGGCGAAGGCGGCUCACUGGCCCGGUACUGACGCUGAGGUGCGAAAGCGUGGGGAGCAAACAGGG